CUGGAAGUAACAAAAAUCACCUUAAAAAUGCCUGAAAAUUGCAAUGAAUUCACUGGAAAAUAAUGAUUAACGAUGUCAACUGACAGGAAAUAAUUGAUAACGACUUUAGCUGCCUGAAAAUGACUUUAAAAAAUUGUUCUCAAAAUUCUCAACUGGCUGGAAGUAACGGAAAAUGUCGUCAAGAAUGCAUUCAGUUGUCUGGAAAAAAAUUGAAAUAUCUUCUUCAAAACUCCAAAACCUUAAAUCCAGACCAACCAACAGGACUCAACCAGCACCAACCUCUAACCUCCCCGCCACCAUCAUUAAUGUGUCAAAAAGAACCCUUACCGAUGCUGAACAAAAGGUGUUAAACAGAGGACUAAACUUCGCCAUAUCCUCAAAACCAUCCUUUAUAGACAUAGUGUCUUCAGUAGAAUCAAUCCACCUACCACGUCCUGAGACCGAUGAAUUUCGACACGAGGCUGGACUCACUUAAAAAAAAUAGAAACCUUCGCAGAACAUCAGCAAAGAAGAGACAACAGCUCUCAGGAAUCUUAAAAGUGAAAAGAACAUCAAAAUUCUUCCUGCAGAUAAGGGCAAUGCAACUGUGGUUAUGGACCUGGAAACCUACGAAAACAAGGUUGAGGAAGUUUUGAACAAAGGCGAAUACAGGCUACUAUCUAAGGAUCCGACGACAACCAUAGAAGGUCGAAUUUACAGAGCACUUAAGAAGUACUCCUCAACAUUGUCGGAUACGGUAUGCUCUAGGCUGACACAAUAACACCUCUACAAAAGGACAAAGCGCUCCAAAAAAUUUUGCUCGUGACGUCACACGUUUGGGCCAUGCACUUCAGGCUGAUUUUCGCGUGAAUUCAGCUGUUGACAGACGCCACUAAAAAGCACCCGAUUCCCGCCGGUGAUCGUGUAUGUUCGGAGAAAAAUUCGGUCGUUUGACGUGAAUGACAAGAAUAACGACACGAAUGUUCCCGCUUUUUUUGUGUUUGUUGGUUGUUUACUUUCGUAAAAAAGUUCCAACUAAUUUGAUCAAUUAUUGCGAUUAUACUGAACUUGUUUCUUUGUGAAAUAUUGACCAUAUUGUUGCUUAUAGUGUUUUAAAAUAAUACCUGAAAAGCUGUAUUAAUUCCAAUCCAGCGAUUUUAGCUGUAAAGAUGGACGGCCCUACUCAAAACCAUCAGAAUCAGGACCAAACUAUCAACAAAAAUAUGUGCCACUCAUGCAGUAAAAUGUUUUCUUUCAUUUCAGCUAAGAACAAACAUAUUAAAGUUAUUCAUAAGCAGCAGCUCCCAGAUAACUCAAAGUCACACAUUUCUUGUCCCUUAUGCAAAGAGACUAAGUAUUCUUGUAAGACUUUAAAAACUUGAAGCUCAUUUACAGGUAAGUCAGGAUAUCAAAAUAGAGUCCUCAACUUUCCAUUUUUCCAGUGAAGAAAGAUUUGAGGAAUGGUUAAGAGAGCAUAAAAUAAGCACAAACUAUGCACUUGUUCGCACAAGGAAAAUUGAAGACAAGAUUGAAAAAGUAUAUUGUUGCAAUUGAAGCAAUUUUAGAGGUGAACUCCUUGGAGAAUGUUCUUCCAAUAAUAUUGAAGCUAGCCAUAGCCUAGAAAUUGAAACAUUUGUUAAUGAGAAGACAACUGAAAAUCAACAAGUAGCAGUACAACGAUUGAACAAGCAAUCAACAAGAGAAAUUGAAUUUGAAAGUGUAUCAAACUUUUUAAGAUCUUUAAAUGAUAAAGCUUAUGAUAUGUGCAUGAGACGACUGACAUCAAUGAUGGAACAGAUAAAUAAGACAAAUACAAGUAAACGAAAAGUGGACAAACAAGUUUAUUUUCCAUCAAAGAAGAAGAAGGAGCAGUAAAUAAAAAUAAUAAAUUGUAUAUUUUUUCUAUUUAUCAGUAUUUUUUUUAUGUUAUAGUAGGUAUAUUUUUAUAGGUUUUAAUAUAUA